UAUAUGCAUGUGUGUUGACAGCCCAGCCCCAUCUGAUGGAACCAAUCUAUCUUGUGAAGAUUCAGUGCCCUGAGCAGGUAGUUGGAGGCAUUUAUGGUGUCUUGAACAGAAAGCGUGGACACGUCUUUGAAGAAUCUCAAGUGGCAGGCACACCAAUGUUUAUAGUGAAAUCCUACCUGCCAGUCAAUUAAUCCUUUGGAUUCCCUGCAGACCUAAGAUCAAACACUGGUGGCCAGGCCUUCCCACAGUGUGUAUUUGAUCAUUGGCAGAUUCUUCCUGGAGAUUCAUUUGACAAUACCACCAGUCCAAGCCAAGUUUUGGCCAAAUCCCACAAGAGAAAGGGUCUUAAGGAGAGUGUUCAAGCUUUGGAUAACUUCUUGGACAAGCUGUGAUUGUCCCAUCUGUUCUCUGCCCAACACCAUGACUGGCUUUGGGAAAUGGACUCUAAACUUCUUGGUUGGUGGCUUUUUUUAAAGAAGCUUACCCUUUACCUUCCUAUUGUACUAAAGUGAGACAUCCCAUUAAAAUUCAUCUCGAUGUUUCACUGUAGUUUUGGGAAUACUAUUU